GACAUCACAGAUAGCCAUGGGUUGCUUCUGGUGUCCCAUCUGUUCCUGCAGGCCUUGCCUCAGUGCGGCAUAAUAGAUCACAGAAUCUUUGGGACAACGAACAGGCACAUUGGCUAAAUCACCUUAUUACACUUCCAUAUAGUUGAAAAGAGGCUUAAUGUUAAAUUAUGAGAUCCCAGCUAUUGUGGAAACCAAGAAAGAAUAAUGCUCCAAAAUAACGACUGUGGCGCCUCUGUGCCACUCAUUGUCCCAGGAACUGUUGGCACGCCUCCCAUGGGAGCUCUCCAUUGAGUCAGCCGUCCUCUGAAAUGAACAGUGGGGCCCAAAUUCAGAUAGCUGGGCCAUGGUGAGCCAUGAAUCUGGACCUGAUGGGGAAGAUGGCAUCCCUAGAGAAUCUGGACAUAGAGCCUAACUCACUUCUCUCAGGAAAAGUCUGGAACACGAGAUGAUAUUCUCCACUCGAAUAAGAUGCUGGCAGGAACUGGAUAGAAAACUGGUGGAGAUACAGUGGAUGUAUAUGAAGAAGGAGCUAUCUGUCACUUGUGAGGCAUUUUGAAUGCUAGGUGUUCUACAUACAUAUUUUGUUAAAUUCCAAAACAAUUUCAAGAGGUAGAAAUGAUCACACUCACUGAUAGGUGAGGGAACUAAGACUCUCACAAGUAAAUUGCCCAGAUCUCACAGGUAGAAAGGUACAGAAGACCACCAUUUGGAAUAAAAAUAACUCCAGAAAUACUGGUGGCUUCUCACUCUCAUAUCCUCUUUCCUCCCUCAUUCUAAUCCUAACCGUGUGCUCCACACUGACAUAUCCAGGUAUCAGAAGUGUGUCUGGGACAGGCAGGCAGGCACAACAAUGCCCACUUCGAUUCCACACACUUCAGGUAGAACACCAGUGGUCCUGUGUCUACGUUCCUUUAACUGCCUUUGUCUCGAUCAAGACUAUUUUUUGAUGCCCACUUCUUUUCCAGAGCAGCCAGGUAUGAACACAUUGGGAUUGGGGGACCGAACUGUGCAAACUGAACCUAGUAGGGCCCCAAAACCCUGUAAGACUCAGUUUUAUCAUACGGCAAAAAGAUAUAAGCCUGUUAUCAACUUGAAAAGUUACUGUGAAGAUGACAUGGGAUACUGAUGAUCAUUGUGGGUUUCACAAACUUCUCUGGUGAUGAGAAGUGCCCACACACUUGUUGAUGUAUAGAGCUCUUCCCUGGAAAUGUGGAUUCGGAACCCAUCUCUGGAUUACUGUAUUAUUCUCACUGGUAUGACUUAGGUAUCAAAUCAGUGAGUUUGCCUUUGCCCAUCCUCUGGUUCUAAAAUCUUCUCCCUUCCAAAUUUGGAAAUAACGUAAUCUUGUGUAUUUUACUGGCUUCUUCCCUCUGCAUGCAUGCUCCUAAAUCCUUCAGCAGGUGCCUGAUACGAAUUGGUUGGAAGUGGGGCAUGUGGGCUCUCCUGCAUUUAACUAGCUAGGUUUCCAUUUUCCUCCCUCUUUCUACCACUGUCUUGUAUUCCCCCUUUCAGACAUUAAAUGACAAGAACAUAAUAUCCAGCCUGCAUUCCUUAUAAAGUCCUCUCCUAUAUACUUGUUAAUGGCUGUCCAUCAUGGUUCUGCCUGGGGAGGUCUCCAACUCAAACUAACCCAAGGAAGGGAUUGAGGAAGAACAUUAGAACCAAAUCAUAUAAAUGAUUACACUGUGUCUAGGUGACUUUUUAAUCAAGGCUUGAAAAUUUCAAGUCCAAUUUUCCCCAAAUAUUCUAUUUGUGUUGUGGUUAAAUAAUUACAUUUUCCAUUGUGUGUGUGUGUUUUAAAGAACUAUUGCAGAGAUUCACACGGGGAUGCAAACAGACUGGCAGGUACUAAAGCAGUGAAGGGAACUGUAUGAACUUCAGCAAGCUAAUUAACCUCUCUGUGCCUCAGUUUAUUUAUCUGAAAUGAAAGAUCACAUUGAUAUUCACCCUAUGGGUUGUCAUGAGGACUAAAAUGAGUUCAUGCAGGUGAGGAGCUGGGAGCAAUGCCUGGCACAGGUUGGAAACAGCUGUUAUUGUCAUUGCAGCAGAGCCAUGUUGCAGAGUCUAUGUGCAACUCUGUGUGUCUGCUCCAUUUUCUCCUCUCUUUACUCACUGGCUUUCCCUGCUUGCUCCUGGUUCCUGUUCUUAUACAACUCUAAAUUGCAUAUGGUUUUGGUUUGCCAUAUUUGUGAGCUUUCAACUUACUCCUAUUUCAGCUUCAUGAUCUCACUUCCAAAUAGCAAAUUCCUUCUGUUCCUUGGUUUGCCCCCCUGAAAAAGAGAAUUUGAAUUGUCCUAUCUACCUUUUACCCUUCUAUGGAUGAACUCCAUAAGGGCCAGAUGGUCAUCUCUGGACUAAUUAACAAUGGUGGGAGUAGAGGAGUCACAUAGUACAAAACCUGGCUGCUUAGGCAGCAGGGGCUUGGGAUAGGGGGAUUUCCUCUAGAGAGGGCACGAGCAGACACGCAGGCAGGCAAUGAUUAGCAUCUUGUAGUAUAAAUUCGAGACCACAUGUCCACAGCAAUUACAUUCAGAGUUUCUUUCAUGAACUCUGAUUUCUGCCGAAACUAGGAGGAAACACCUAAAAGAAGACUGGACAAAGAGCCAGGGGAACGGAACCCAGACUCUAAUCACAAUUUGUUGUAAGACCUCAGUGUAACCCAUUUCACCCUCAUAGGCCUCAGUUUCCUCAUCUGUCAAGGCAAUGGGAUGGAGAAGAUGAACUCUAAAUUCCUUUCCACUUCCAAGAUAAAAAGGAAACAGAAAUGAUGAGGCAGGGUGCCUAAAAGCUGACCUUGGACCUGAAAUGGUUAGAUAAUUGAACUUGAUGCAUAGUUUAAAGCAUUAAUGAUCUGAAAAAUUCCAUAUGUAUUGAUAUUCUUGGAGACAAUUAUCUCUACAGUAAGCAUAUGUUGAAUUAGCAUAAGGUUACUAUUAAAAAAUACUGUGGAAAUGAAAUAUAAACUUCUAUAAUCGUAGGAAGCAACAAUCUCAAAAUCACUGAUCCAGUCUUUCACUUAAACAGGAUUGAUGACUAAAGCUCCAACUUCCUUCCUCACAUCACUGAUGUUACGCAUGUAGGACAUGAAGUCUGGAUGAAAGGUGAAUGGCUUCUAAAUGGAUUUGCCUCCCCCCUGAGGUCAGGCACCGGCUGGUCUUUAAUCACUGUUGUCCUGUGCCUGAGCUUAUUUAUAAAUAAGCUGCAGAGUCAAAUGUGUACCACAUGUGGAAUGCCCCCCAGAAGCGUUGCCAUCAUAUGGGCCAAAUAUUGAUUUUAUAGGAAUAAGAAUGUGCAGUAAGCAACACGUGGAAAAGAAAGACUACAUUUGUUUCCCAAUAACCAAGUUAGUAGAAGACUGCAAAGCUUCUAAAAUCAUAGCCACUAUUUAGGAAGAAUUGAUCUUUGGAUGGUGGAUACCUUAGCCAGACCUUAUCUACAUAGUUCCCUUUACCAGUGGGGAGUAGAAUUUAAGGUUUUUCUGGUUCCACUUUUUGCCACGUAAGUCACCAUCUAUUCUCUGUUUUUCCCUGUCACAGGGCCUUGGAACUCAUCCGGGAAGUUUAGUCCAUCACUUUACCAAGCUAAUUUGCGACAAUCAGUCUUAGGGUGGCCCUACAGAAACCACAGUUAUUUCCAGUCUGAGCUGUUUCCCAGUUGGGACAAACAGGAAUAAUUGCCCCUGAAGAGGCCUCUGAAGUGAUUGAUCCACCUGUGUUAGGCAGGCAUAUAGUCCAGGUCUUACUGCUUCUAGCUACUUGGCACCCCUCCAUUCUCUGCCUCCAUCUCCGACCUGCAGGUUAUAUUUUUCCUUCAAUGAGUUCCCUUGCUCUUUAGACUGCCCUUGGCACUCCUGUAAUAGGCAUUUUCACACAUGUAGAAAUAGGAAAGAUGAGAGAUCGCGCAGAACAAUUUGUCUUGGUCAAUGGAUUACCUGUAGAUCAUCAGGUUGACUGAAAUUUUGAGGUCUAUGUUGUGUCCCUUGCAAUAUAAUUUUAACACAGUAUCUUUCUGAUGAUAUGGUCAUUUAAGUGAGCACUAGCAAUGCACAUGUUGCUGUGUGUGCUGAAAUACUCCCAGACUAGGUCCAAGUUAUGGACGAAAGUGUAUUGUUCUCAACGACCUCUAGCCUGGUGCUACUCCAAGUGGUGAUCCAUAGACCAGUGUCCAUCUACAAAAUUUUUAUUCCAGAUCCACUUUGGAACAAGAACAGAAAUUAAGAGCAAG
ensembl:lncRNA novel transcript, antisense to NFIB